rnacentral:rRNA from 1 species
GGGGAAUUUUGGACAAUGGGCGCAAGCCUGAUCCAGCCAUUCCGCGUGCGGGAAGAAGGCCUUCGGGUUGUAAACCGCUUUCGGCAGGGAAGAAACGGCGAGGGCUAAUACCUCUUGCUAAUGACGGUACCUGAAGAAGAAGCACCGGCUAACUACGUGCCAGCAGCCGCGGUAAUACGUAGGGUGCGAGCGUUAAUCGGAAUUACUGGGCGUAAAGCGUGCGCAGGCGGUUUUGUAAGACAGAUGUGAAAUCCCCGGGCUUAACCUGGGAACUGCGUUUGUGACUGCAAGACUCGAGUGCGGCAGAGGGGGGUGGAAUUCCACGUGUAGCAGUGAAAUGCGUAGAGAUGUGGAGGAACACCGAUGGCGAAGGCAGCCCCCUGGGUCGACACUGACGCUCAUGCACGAAAGCGUGGGGAGCAAAC